rnacentral:rRNA from 1 species
AUCAGUGGCCAAACCUCCUUGUCAAAGCCUGAUCUUGUCAGAUUUCUGAAGCUAAGCAGAGCUGAAUCUGUUUAGUAUUUGGAUGGAAGAGCGCUGGGAAUACCAGGUGCCACAGUGU